GAUGAACGCUGGCGGCGUGCCUAAUACAUGCAAGUCGAGCGAACAGACGAGGAGCUUGCUCCUCUGACGUUAGCGGCGGACGGGUGAGUAACACGUGGAUAACCUACCUAUAAGUCUGGGAUAACUUCGGGAAACCGGAGCUAAUACCGGAUAAUAUAUUGAACCGCAUGGUUCAAUAGUGAAAGACGGUUUUGCUGUCACUUAUAGAUGGAUCCGCGCCGCAUUAGCUAGUUGGUAAGGUAACGGCUUACCAAGGCAGCGAUGCGUAGCCGACCUGAGAGGAUGAUCGGCCACCAUGGAACGGAGACACGGUCCAGACGCCUACGGGAGGAAGCAGUAGGGAAUCUUCCGCAAUGGGCGAAAGCCUGACGGAGCAACGCCGCGUGAGGGAUGAUGGUCUUCGGAUCGUAAAGCUCUGUUAUUAGGGAAGAACAAAUGUUGAAGUAACUGUGGACGUCUUGACGGUACCUAAACAGAAAGCCACGGCUAACUACGUG
rnacentral:rRNA from 1 species